GAUGAACGCUAGCUACAGGCUUAACACAUGCAAGUCGAGGGGAAACGAUAGAGAAAGCUUGCUUUUUCUAGGCGUCGACCGGCGCACGGGUGAGUAACGCGUAUCCAACCUGCCCACCACUUGGGGAUAACCUUGCGAAAGUAAGACUAAUACCCAAUGACGUCUCUAGAAGACAUCUGAAAGAGAUUAAAGAUUUAUCGGUGAUGGAUGGGGAUGCGUCUGAUUAGCUUGUUGGCGGGGUAACGGCCCACCAAGGCGACGAUCAGUAGGGGUUCUGAGAGGAAGGUCCCCCANAUUGGAACUGAGACACGGUCCAAACUCCUACGGGAGGCAGCAGUGAGGAAUAUUGGUCAAUGGGCGAGAGCCUGAACCAGCCAAGUAGCGUGAAGGAUGACUGCCCUAUGGGGUUGUAAAACUUCUUUUAUAAAGGAAUAAAGUCGGGUAUGCAUACCCGUUUGCAUGUACUCUAUGAAUAAGGAUCGGCUAACUCCGUG
rnacentral:rRNA from 1 species